ensembl:antisense 1700027A07Rik RIKEN cDNA 1700027A07 gene
GAGAUGUUGUCUUCGGGCCACAUCUUGUUGCCCUCGGAACCAUUGAGGCUCAUUAGAAACAUGUGGAUGUGAUGGAGCCAGGGCUCCAUCACCCGUGACUUCGCAAGCUGGCCUGGGCUCUUAGACCUGGCCCAGGCAUCGCUGGCCAGUCCCUUCUCAUGGCUUCGGAAACUUCACCUGCAGGUGGCACUCUUAUCUGGGUGAGAAACUAGCAUGUGGGAACCAUACUCAAGACAAGCAGCUCCGAGAAACCGCCAAGCACAGGGCUCUUCAAAUCAGGAAGGCAACAGAUACCCCACUGGUCCCCUUUCCUCCUUAUGGGGGGCAGAUUCUGUAUCCCCAGGAGAGGAAGUUUUCGUUUGGCCAGUUACUCCUGUUUUGUUCAAAAUAAUUUAUUUACGAGCCUUACAAAAAUACAUUGGCAAGAGAAAAAAAAUAAAAGUCCUCUAGGAACAGGC